AUUCUUUUUUGAUCUUGUCGUUAAAAUAAAGUGUAAUAUUUGAUCUUGUCGGUUUAAUAACUGAUAUGUGAACCAUAUGUUCACUAUGAUACUAAAUUUAUUUUUAUGAGUAUUAGUAUGAUUGUGUCGUCGCAGCGUACUGUAUUGGACUAGUUUCU
rnacentral:snRNA from 1 species